AUAUUGAAAAAACACCAGAUCAUUUGCCUGGGAGGGACAUAAACAGGCCAAGCGGAUGCAGGUUAAUAAAAUCCGAAAAAGCCCAGACAGGAACACUUAAAAUGCCCAGAACAAAGCACACCGUGACAAAUUCUCACCCAACACGCAAGUACACGUACCGGAAUGUUCCCAGGCGC
rnacentral:sRNA from 1 species